GAAAGCCUGACGGAGCAAUACCGCGUGAGGGAAGACUGCCUAUGGGUUGUAAACCUCUUUUUCCAGGGAGGAAUCAAUGACGUGUACCUGAAGAAUAAGCAUCGGCUAACUCCGUGCCAGCAGCCGCGGUAAGACGGAGGAUGCAAGUGUUAUCCGGAAUCACUGGGCGUAAAGCGUCUGUAGGUGGUUUAAUAAGUCAACUGUUAAAUCUUGAGGCUCAACUUCAAAAUCGCAGUCGAAACUAUUAGACUAGAGUAUAGUAGAGGUAAAGGGAAUUUCCAGUGGAGCGGUGAAAUGCGUAGAUAUUGGAAAGAACACCGAUGGCGAAAGCACUUUACUGGGCUAUUACUAACACUCAGAGACGAAAGCUAGGGUAGCA
rnacentral:rRNA from 1 species